GAUCCGGUGUCCAAAUGGUUAGAGUGUCCGCCUGAGAUGCGGAAGGUCGCAGGUUCCAAUCCCGGUCGAGUCA